rnacentral:rRNA from 1 species
UACAGAGGUCUCAAGCGUUGUUCGGAUUCAUUGGGCGUAAAGGGUGCGUAGGCGGCGGGGCAAGUCGGAUGUGAAAUCUCGGAGCUUAACUCCGAAACUGCAUUCGAUACUGCCGUGCUUGAGGACUGGAGAGGAGACUGGAAUUCUCGGUGUAGCAGUGAAAUGCGUAGAUAUCGAGAGGAACACCAGUGGCGAAGGCGAGUCUCUGGACGACACCUGACACUGAGGCACGAAAGCCAGGGGAGCAAACAGG